rnacentral:rRNA from 1 species
GACGAACGCUGGCGGCGUGCUUAACACAUGCAAGUCGAACGAAGAGCGAUGGAAGCUUGCUUCUAUCAAUCUUAGUGGCGAACGGGUGAGUAACGCGUAAUCAACCUGCCCUUCAGAGGGGGACAACAGUUGGAAACGACUGCUAAUACCGCAUACGAUCUAAUCUCGGCAUCGAGGAAAGAUGAAAGGUGGCCUCUAUUUAUAAGCUAUCACUGAAGGAGGGGAUUGCGUCUGAUUAGCUAGUUGGAGGGGUAACGGCCCACCAAGGCGAUGAUCAGUAGCCGGUCUGAGAGGAUGAACGGCCACAUUGGGACUGAGACACGGCCCAGACUCCUACGGGAGGCAGCAGUGGGGAAUCUUCCGCAAUGGACGAAAGUCUGACGGAGCAACGCCGCGUGAGUGAUGACGGCCUUCGGGUUGUAAAGCUCUGUUAAUCGGGACGAAAGGCCUUCU